rnacentral:rRNA from 1 species
GCAGUCGCCGCGGUAAUACGUAGGGUGCAAGCGUUAAUCGGAAUUACUGGGCGUAAAGCGUGCGCAGGCGGUUCGCUAAGACAGAUGUGAAAUCCCCGGGCUUAACCUGGGAACUGCAUUUGUGACUGGCGGGCUAGAGUAUGGCAGAGGGGGGUGGAAUUCCGCGUGUAGCAGUGAAAUGCGUAGAUAUGCGGAGGAACACCGAUGGCGAAGGCAGCCCCCUGGGCCAACACUGACGCUCAUGCACGAAAGCGUGGGGAGCAAACAGGAUUAGAUACCCGUGUAGUCCCUGUCUCUUAUAC